CGCAGAGAGAAGAGCUCUCCACUUGGCCCUAACUCAUAACCUGCCUCAUUCCUGGAAGAUUCGGGGUUUUUCUGUAAGACUGAAGACGACUUCAAUGACUGGUGCCAGCAAGUCAAAAAGCUGUCUCUGCUCGGAGGCGCCCUGCCCAUGUUUGAGCUGGUGGAGCAGCAGCCUUCACACCUGGCCUGCCCCGAUGUCCUGAACCUGUCCCUAGAUUCUUCUGAUGUAGAGCGACUGGA
rnacentral:lncRNA from 1 species